CCUACGGGUGGCAGCAGUGGGGGAUAUUGCACAAUGGGGGAAACCCUGAUGCAGCGACGCCGCGUGAGUGAAGAAGUAUUUCGGUAUGUAAAGCUCUAUCAGCCGGGAAGCAAAUGACGGUACCUGAAGAAGAAGCCCCGGCUAACUACGUGCCAGCAGCCGCGGUAAUACGUAGGGGGCAAGCGUUAUCCGGAUUUACUGGGUGUAAAGGGGGCGCAGUCGGCGAUGCAAGCCAGGAGUUAAAGCCCGGGGCCCAACCCCGGGACUGCUCGUGGAACUGCGUGGCUGGAGUGCAGGAGAGGCAGGCGGAAUUCCUGGUGUAGCGGUGAAAUGCGUAGAUAUCGGGAGGAACACCGGUGGCGAAGGCGGCCUGCUGGACUGCAACUGACGUUGAGGCCCGAAAGCGUGGGUAGCAAACAGGAUUAGAUACCCCAGUAGUC
rnacentral:rRNA from 1 species